rnacentral:lncRNA from 1 species
AUGCUCUUUGUUUUCUUGAUUAGUUCUGUAUAAUUGCAGGUUACCCCAGAUAAAACUACUGUGAAACUGUAAAAAAGUAAAUAACUUGGUACAGAAAACUGUAAUAAAGUAAAAGAGGGACGCAUAGUUUAUCAGGAACCUGGAGCCAUGUAUAUUGAUGGAUUUAACUAUUCAGUAUCAAAAUUGUUUCUUUACAGUUGGGUUUCUAAUGAGAUAAUUACAAGAUGUUGAGAAUGGAUGCUCUUGUUUUGAUCAAGCACCUAAAGAGGGUAUCAACUCCUUCUUCAAGAUCUUGAAUGCAUGGCUGCAAGUUCUUCAAAUGAGUUUGGAUUUCCUCACAGGAUUUGCUUGUCUUCAAACAGGCAUCCACUUCGGCGAAUUCGUUUUCUGAUGCUUUAACUUCAUUCUUCUUAGCUGCAAUCAGCUUGGAAACCAAAGACCAGUUGCUUGACUUGGAGUUUGAUUGAGAGAUGAAAGACAACAAGCUUUCCAAAACUUCCACAACAAUGGACUCAGAUUCUUUCAGCAUGGUAACCGUCUCAGAUUUCUUGGUUUCAAUAGCCUUCAAGGCCUUUUUGAUUGCUUUCUUCACAGUCUUCCUUGAGUUGAGGUACCUUUUGGUUUCUGCUACCAAGUCUCCUUGCCUUCUGCGAAUGGCGGAUUGAAGUUCAGAAACUGACUCUUUCAUUUGGGACAAGGCAUCCUUUGCUGUGUUGCAUAGAUCCAAGACUCUGAGGGAUCCAUCUAGUAGCUCAUUUUGGCCAUGGAUCAUGGCUUGUUGAGUUGAUUGGAGUUGAAUCAACUUGUCAACACAGUCAUACACAUCCUGAAGGCCAUUAAGGCUGUUGCUUAUGGAUGAUGAUGAAAUGGAAGCAGCUUGAGAUUGCCUCAACCUGCAAAGCUGCUCGUCGAACUCCGAAACUAAAGGGUGUGAUGUUGAAGGGAAACUGUUGGAUCGAGAGUGGAAGGUGGUAGCUGCCAUUUUUGAUCUUUUGUGUGAAUAAGAGAAAGUUUAGAGAAGUUUUUUCCUCUUGAAAGUUGAGAGAGUUAGAUGUAGAUGAGAUGAUAUGGCUGUCACAACAGCAAGUUUAUAUAGAGGAUGAGAAAAGGAGGAAGGCUGAAGAAUUGAAGGGAACACCAAAGAGACAGGAGGAAUCAAAGGCAAUUCAUCUUAUAUUUCCAUGUGCAUUCUUCUGUGGGUUGAUGCAUAUGAUUUUGGAUCCAACAAAAUGUUAACAGUUCUGUCUAAGAAAUGUCCCUUGCCUACCAAAUACUCCAGCUCAUUUGUCCUCAGUGUAUUUCAUUGAUGAUUGAGGCUAGUUCUGAGACAAGAUCCUUAUAUGUUGCUGCUACACUGCAAUCUGCAUUGUUUAUAAUCAGAUUGUCUUACAAUUUGCAGUGUCUUCCUAUCCUGUUCUUUACAGACAUUAACUUCCAACAACACAAUGGUUACAGGAAAACAAUUGGUAUGAACAGCAAAAAUAUGUAAAGAGAAACCAUGCUUCAGGCAAGAGUGUUUCCAUAAAGCUGAGCGUAGACCCUUUUGGUGCGACGAACGACAAUCAUGCUCAACACCAUAGCCAAAAUGCAGAGACAACCCAUGAUCCCAAAAGUUAAGGAAAAACAUAUGGAACCCAUACACUUGAGAGUUUGUCCAUUCUGGCCAGCUUGUUGUUGUUCAGCGUAGUAAUCAUAUAUUCUGCUAGCAAUGGCACCAGAGAAUACCAGAGAUCCUGCAGGAGUUGAAAGAUUAAGGAAAUUGUACAAAGCUCCGAAACUCUUCAACCCGAAUAGUUCAGACACUGCUGCAGGAACAAUCGCCCAAUUGGCACCAUAAGUAAGUCCAAUCACAACACUCACUACGUAAAUCUGUCCUGGCCAUCCCAUGGCAGAGUAGAACAAUCCCAAUGCCAUUAUGAACUCUACUGCUGCCAUAGCCACAACUCUCGGAUAGGCAAAUUUUCUUACGAUUACCUCAGAGAAGUAGCCCCCAGCAACACGGCCAAGAAAGUUCCAAAUGCUCAUCAUUGAAACGUAUAUGUUCGCAUCAUCAUACCCGAGCGACUGACAAAUCUGGCCGAGGUUAUCAAUCACUGUAAGGCCGGAUCCAGCAGCCAGAACAAGAGAGAACCAAAUUAGCAAGAAAUCAGCUUUCACUAAUGCCUGCAUUAAGGUGAAGUCUUCCCCUCGGCGUGGAUUUCCUUUUCUCCUAACGGCUCCUUCUGCUGCAGCUUGGUAUAGUUUAGCUUGCAAGUGAGCCAUUCUUUUAUUCCUUUCCGAUGUUGAUGAAACGGAAUCUUCGUCUUCAGUUUCACUUAAAACGAAGCUUCCUAAUCGCUCUGGUGGAUGUCUAGUUGCUGCUACUUGCUUAGAAAGAAGGUGCUCAUCUAUAGUUGGUAUUGGUCCAGAGAAGAAAACCAACUUAAGUGGAACCAAAACAGGAGCUAAUACAAUGAGGAGCAAGACUAGAGUGAGGAGGGUGACCAGAUUUUGACUGAGAUCAACCACAUCAUUCACUAUCAAGAUGCCGAGUAAAUAUGCAGCUAGAAGUAUGCAAACUCCAUAGACAAAGGAGAAGCUGCUUGAACUAUCUGAUUGUUUGUUACCCUCUACAGGCCUAACCAAGAACAUGAGAGCAAUAGCUACCAUGGAUGGGCCAACUGCAACCAUGAAGAUCAAUGAAGCUUGGUUGGGAGAAUUGAUCAUAGCAUACACUUGAGUUAGAAUUGCUCCACUCAACCCUGCAAAUCCUUUCAGAAUCCCAACAACAGGACCACGAUUCUUUGGGAAGUUCUGGACACUUGAAACAAGAUCAGCUGUAUUGAAAUAGGUCUCCCCAUUUGUACCCACAAAAAUAGCGGCACAAAGCUGUCAAGGAAAUUGAAAGUAUUGUUUAUGACAAUUGAAUUCAUAAUAAAGCAUUUAACUUUACUUGGCUGGGGAUGGAUAGAUCUGGAAAAAGAAACAGAAAAUCAGAACUCACCGCCCAAAGAGGCAGAGCAGGCAAUCUUUGAGUGACGAUAAGCCAAACGAAGCCAUAGCCAAGGAAGUUUUGAAGAGCACCGAUAAGGAGAAGUACCCAAGUGGGGAAAAGCUCAAUGAGACUCCCAGGCACGAAUCCAAUACUAUCACCAAGAUCCUUAGCAACUCCAAGCAAGGCGAGCUGUUUCUGGUUAUAACCCAUGGAAGUCUUAAUCACAGGGGAAAUGCUACCAAACAUGUAGCCAAUCCCAGCGCAUGAUUGUAGCCACAUUGAGCACACGAAUACCAGCCAUCUGCUGCUCCCCAAGGCCCUGAAUUUCGAGUUCAUCGACUUUCUACUGCCUUCCCCCGCUUCCAUGUUUCCUGUUUCUUUUGCACACCACUUUUCUUUGCUUUUGCGUUACAUGGAUGUUGGUACUAAUGGUAACUUCUCUUUCUAAGGGAGGAAGUUGCUGCUAGUACACUGUAUUGUUUCUAGUUUUUGCACAGAAUGAAAAAUGAAGUGUCUUGUUUUCUUUCGAGGUACAAAAGUCCUUAGUUUUGGUCGGACAUGCCUCCAUAUCAACAAUAUCUUAUCCACAUCACAUCACAUCACAUCACAUCACAUCACAGAUGACCCCUUUGACAGACAACAUCAAUACGGUACCGUAUGCUUCUUUGCUUCCGUUUGUUGUCAUUAUUUGUCAAGGUGGAUUAUCUACUAAUGAUGAGGCUAAAGGGCUGAUUUGGUAAUCAUCAACAAUGAGCUUUCUGUAUACCUUUCAAUUUUGGAUAAAAUCAAUCUGUAACAUUCUAAAUGUGACAAUGUCAACGUGUAAGAAGAUAAGGAUGAAUCUUUUAGUUUCUAAACUAACAGAAACUUGGUUCUGAGUCACUUCCAUUUUCAGUGCCAGAUCAUCCCCACGAGUGCUCUUGAUCAUCUGAUGCAUUGAGACUGAUAAAUAGUAAAUGUUUACACGGUUGUUGCGUUAAUGGAAGGCAAGAUCCACUAAGUUAGCUUGCUAAACGUGUAUAAUGGAAGUGAACGUGUAUGGUGUACAUGAUCCCUUACCAAAAGACAAGCUAUCACCGUUCUUCAUUGCAUUUGCAGGUGUGUGAUAAUUCCGAUCUCUGACAUUGUUUAUUUGGCUUUGUCAGCCUUCCCAUGUGAAUGGGAUGCCCUUUGUUUGUUCAUCAGUUCAAAAAAGAUAGUUUGAGUUCAAUUAUCGCAGUUUAUUAACAUCUCUAGUUAUUCACCUGUUCGUAUCUGCAUGCAAAAAAGUAAAUAACUUGGGACAGAAAGUGCAGUAACGUAAAAGAGAGACAUAGUUUAUCAGGAACUUGGAGUCAUGUAUAUUUGAUCGAUUCACUAUUCACUAAAACGUUGUUUCUUUACAGUUGGGAUCAUUUACAAGUAUGAUUUUUCAUGAUAUAAUUACAAGAUGUUGAGAAUGGAGGCUCUUGUUUUGAUCAAGCACCUAAAGAGGGACUCAACUCCUUCUUCAAGAUCUUGAAUGCAUGGCUGCAAGUUCUUCAGAAGAGCUUGGAUUUCCUCACUGGAUUUGCUUGUCUUCAAACAGGCAUCCACUUCUGCAAAUUCGUUUUCUGAUGCUGCAAUAACUCUUUUUGCCAUCAGCUUGGAGACCAAAGACCAGCUGCUUGACUUGGAGUUUGAUUGAGAAAUGAAUGACAACAGGUUCUCCAACACCUCAACAACAAUGGAUUCAGCUUCUCUUAACAUGUCGAUUGCAUCGAUGUUGCUGGAAGAAGUAGAUUUCUUGGUUUCAUAACCCUUCAAGGCCUUUUGGAUUGCUUUCUUCACAGUCUUCCUUGAGUUGAGGUACCUUCUGGUUUCUGCUAUCAGAUCUCCUUGCCUUCUACGAAUGGCGGAUUGAAGUUCACAAACCGACUCUUUCGUUAGAGACAAGGCAUCCUUGGCUGCGUUGCAUAGAUCCAAGAGUCUCAGAGAUCCAUCUAGUAGCUCGUUUUGGUCAUGGAUCAUGGCUUGUUGAGUUGAUGGAAGUUGAAUCAACUUGUCAACACAAUCAUAGACAUCCUGAAGACCAUUAAGCCUGUUGCUUAUGGAUGAUGAUGAUGAUGAUGAUGAUGUAUAGGCAGAUUGAGAUUGUCUCAACCUGCAAAGCUGAUCCUCAAACUCCGAAACGAGAGGGUGUGAUCUUGAAGGGAAACUGUUGGAUCGAGCGUGGAAGGUGACGGCUGCCAUUUUUGUAUGUUUGGUGGUGAAUAUGAGAAAGAUGAGAGAAGUUUUUUCUCUUCAAGGUUGAGAAAGGUUGAUGUAGAUGAGAUGAAAUGGCUGAUCACAACAGCAAGAAUAUAUAGAGGAUGGGAAGGAGGAAGGUUGAAUGAAGACUUUUUUUUCUUUUGGUAAAAAGGUUGAAUGAAGACUUGAAGGGAACAGAAAGAGACAGCAGGAACCAAAGGCAAAUUAUCUAAUUUAUCCAUGUGCAUUCUUCUGCGGGUUGAUGCAUUUGAUUUUGGAUCCAACAAAAUGCUAACAGUUUGGUCUAAGAAAUGUCCCUUGCCUACCAAAUACUCCAGCUCAUUUGUCCUCAGUGUAUUUCAUUGAUCGUUGAGGCUAGUUCUGAGGCAAGAUCCUUAUAUGUAGCUGCUACACUGCAUUGUUUAUUGCUACCUCUCUCUCUUUCUAGUUUUCCAAAAUGAAAAGUCUUUGUUUUGGAACCAUAAAUUAAUGUUGGUCAUGCCACACGAGUGCUUCAUCACCCAGUUGGACCAAUAGGGAGACACCACGCUGGCAGCUUUCAUGGAAAGAGAGGCUGAAGUGAUGAUGGCCCCUUUUGCAGACAACAACCAGAAUGCUAAUGGCUAUAUGAUGAUGAAGUUGGCGCAGCCUCUAAUUUCAAGUUGCCAGAGCCUCAAGUACAACCUACAAAUGCAGAAUUGGGUGUGGAGAGCUCUCAAAGGUGGUUCCCAGUUCGAGUUUCGUAAUCUCUGUUGGAAAAGGAAAUUGUUGUCAUGGUUUUGUAAUCAGUCUAAAGUCUUCUUCUCAUGUCUCUGCAUGUUGUUGAGACUAUGUACUUUCAUGUUUUAGAUAGAUGGAACCUCUACUAUAGAAGUUAUAAGUUCGCUUAUAAUACCGAAACAAAUCGUAGACAGGAUCCACAUGAGUAGCUUAGGAAUCUUGUGUAAUCGUGGGGAGGUUGAUUAAACUAAUCAUGAUUUAGACUCACUUAAAGUCUCCUUUGAAUGUAACAAUGGCAAGUAGCUGCAUCAUACUCAAAUAAGAUGUCAUGAUCCACCAAUUUAGUUGAAAUUACAUAUUUAGAAGUGAACGUGUUAAUGAACAGAACUGAAUCCCACAACAGAAGGCAAGCCAACUCAUUUUGCUUUUAUGUGAGUGUGUUGAUUAUUGAUAAACUCAUCUCUGACAUUGUCAGUCUUCCAUGUGCAUGCCCUUUGGUUUCUUAAUAAGCUGUAUAAUUGCAGGUUAACCUAGAUGUAAACCAAGAUGUGAACUAGAUGUAAAAAGUAAAUAACUUGGUUGGGAUAGAAACUGCAGUAAAUUAAAAGAGAGACAUAGUUUUAUCAGGAACUUGGAGCCAUGUAGAUUGAUGGAUUCACUAUUCAUUAUCAAAAUUGUUUCUUUACAGUUGGGUUUCUAAUGAUGAUAUAAUUAC